rnacentral:rRNA from 1 species
GGAAUCUUCGGCAAUGGGGCAACCCUGACCGAGCAACGCCGCGUGAGUGACGAAGGUUUUCGGAUCGUAAAGCUCUGUUGUAAGAGAAGAACGUGUGUGAGAGUGGAACGUUCACACAGUGACGGUAACUUACCAGAAAGGGCCGGCUAACUACGUGCCAGCAGCCGCGGUAAUACGUAGGUCCCGAGCGUUGUCCGGAUUUAUUGGGCGUAAAGCGAGCGCAGGCGGUUUUUUAAGUCUGAUGUGAAAGCCUUCGGCUUAACCGAAGAAGUGCAUUAGAAACUGGAAAACUUGAGUGCAGAAGAGGACAGUGGAACUCCAUGUGUAGCGGUGAAAUGCGUAGAUAUAUGGAAGAACACCAGUGGCGAAGGCGGCUGUCUGGUCUGUAACUGACGCUGAGGCUCGAAAGUAUGGGGAGCGAACA